CUACGGGCUGCAGCAGUGGGGAAUAUUGCACAAUGGGCGCAAGCCUGAUGCAGCAACGCCGCGUGAACGAUGAAGGUCUUCGGAUCGUAAAGUUCUUUUCUUAGGGAAGAAAAAUGACGGUACCUAAGGAAUAAGCACCGGCUAAAUACGUGCCAGCAGCCGCGGUAAUACGUAUGGUGCAAGCGUUAUCCGGAAUCACUGGGCGUAAAGGGAGCGUAGGCGGUUUUGCAAGUCAGAAGUGAAAGGCUACGGCUCAACCGUGGUAAGCUUUUGAAACUGCAAGACUAGAGUGCAGGAGAGGCAAGUGGAAUUCCUAGUGUAGAGGUGAAAUUCGUAGAUAUUAGGAGGAACACCAGUGGCGAAGGCGACUUCCUGGACUGUAACUGACGCUGAGGCUCGAAAGCGUGGGGAGCGAACAGGAUUAGAUACCCGGGUAGUC
rnacentral:rRNA from 1 species